CUGGUCGAUUCUGCGGUUCUUUGCUGUGAUUACUGGAGGUUUGAUGCUUCAGUAGCUGCCUGCUUCAAGGAUUUAAAUGAAACAAAAAUCUGAAAAAAAGGAAUAAAUAUUUCCAGAUCUGGAUGUAGUUGAUGCCAGUAGGAUGACAGGAAAACUAACACAGAUGCCAUUGAGAGAACAAAAUACAGCUGAA